CCUACGGGGGGCUGCAGUGGGGAAUUUUGGACAAUGGGGGCAACCCUGAUCCAGCCAUUCCGCGUGAGUGAAGAAGGCCUUCGGGUUGUAAAGCUCUUUCGCAAGGGAAGAAAACUUACUCAAUAACACUGGGUGAGGCUGACGGUACCUUGAUAAGACGCACCGGCUAACUACGUGCCAGCAGCCGCGGUAAUACGUAGGGUGCGUACGUUAAUCGGAAUUACUGGGCGUAGAGCUUUAGGUCACGGUUGAAAUCCCCGGGCUCAACCUGGGAACUGCGUUUGAAACUACAAGGCUAGAGUAUGGCAGAGGGGGGUAGAAUUCCACGUGUAGCAGUGAAAUGCGUAGAGAUGUGGAGGAAUACCAAUGGCGAAGGCAGCCCCCUGGGUCAAUACUGACGCUCAUGCACGAAAGCGUGGGGAGCAAACAGGAUUAGAUACCCGAGUAGUC
rnacentral:rRNA from 1 species